rnacentral:lncRNA from 1 species
GGUAAUCAAACAAUCUGAAUUUAAGUCAGAAUUUGUUGGAUUUGAAAUAAAUCAGCAAUUGGAAGGAUAAAAUUGGUUUUACAUAGGUUAAAUAUCAGAAGGUUCAAGAUCAAUGGACAGUUGUCCCCAUUUUUAGCAAAAGAUGUUGAAAUUGGGUGGGAAAAAAGGCAGACAGUUGUAAAAAGAUGCUGUAUUAUUCUGAAUUUCAGCAUUUUAGGUUAGAAUAUGCUUUUUUGAUGCCAUUAACAUGCUAUAAAAGAAAAACAUUCCCCUAUUCACACACACACAUUGAUAAUACUGUUCCAUUACUCUGAAGAAAAAAUAGAAAAUACUAGAAAAAAUACUGAAAUCAUGAGUGCAAAAACAUUCUGAAAAUUGGUUUUCCUGUGGCUGUGGCUUCUUUCCGGAAAAACUACUUUUCUUGCUGAUUUUUACUCAAACCUUGGGUAUUCAAGCUAUCAUUUCCUGGGUUUUCCUAUUGCUGGUUCUGCUGCUUUAUUAAGCUUCAAAUAGCUUUGGUUUUCUUGACCUUUAUUUGGUCUAAUUUUUCUUUGUUGUUUUACAUUUUAAGGUAUGUAACUUUUACCUUGUAUCAAAUAGAAUUUCUGUUUGAAAUCCUGCUUAAUUGUCAUUGUUUAUGUGGGUUUUAGUUAUGAGUUUCAACUUUUAUGUGUUGAUAUACUUAUACAUGCUUAAAUUUCCGAUCUAGUUGUAUGUUGAUUUGUUGGAUUUAUAUGUUAAAUAUCUUAUUGUGAACACCAACAUGACUACUUAGUUUAAAUAUGUUUAAAACGAGUUGAACUUGAUUUUUUUAUCUUGGUAAUUUGAAUCAGAAGUCUUCUUCUAGUUUCAUAUUUGUUUAAGUUCCCUUGUGGCUGAAAUCCUCCGGUUAGGCCCCAAUAUUAUUCAACUAGUUAAGUGUGGAUUAAACAAAGGAAAUUAAACUUUUCAUAUAUACCUAAACCUUUGUUUAUAAGUGGUAAUCUGCAAAUUUGUUUAGCUGGUUAUUCGAACUCCAGUGACUAUUUUUGAAGAUGUUGAAGUUAGCUGAUUUAAUUACGAAAUUUAGAAAGGAUUGGUUUACGCAUUAGACCUAGAAAUUUCAUAUUAUCAGUUUAAUAUUUCUUUUUUUUUUAGCUUAAUGAUUGUAAUAUUUGAGCAUGCUAAUUUAGUUAGAAUAUGUAAUAAUGUUCAUAUGUCUGGUUUUGUUUGACUUAGCAGACAGAAUGAAGCAUUGGGCCAUGGGGUCUCAAACGCAAGCCCCAAAGAGAUAGGUCAUAUUGGGCCUAUCAUUCAUGGCCCAGGCCCUGAAAGACCUUUAAUCUUAUGAAGGGUCUUUAUAAAUCUGUAUAAAUUCAACUAUGUGACGUUUAUAUUUGUCAAUGUCAGUUGCAAAUUCAAAAUCCAUGAGUUUUUUAUAUAAUAUUAAGUGGAUGACAUUUUUUUAGGGCUGAACAGUAUGUUUUCUUCUCCCCUUUGUUUAAAAAUUGAUGAAAUGCAACUGGCCCAAUGUGUAAACUGGGCCAGACUGAUGAUAUACACUAGAUAGCCCAUUCCUUAAUUCUUAAGUCAAUAAUAAUUAGCUGCUUUAAAACUCGAGUAGUCCAACAUUCUAUAGCCCAAAAUACCUCUUACAUUCUUUAGUUGAUAUUGCAAAUAACUUAGGAAAACAAAUAAUCAUGAGCAUUUGUAGUUAACAUAAAAUUGAAUACAACUCUUUAUUUUAUAAAUUGGAGGUGUGCCAUUCAUAACUGAAUCACCUAAUUUAUGGCCCUCUUAUUAAUAUUAUAACUUAGAUAUUAGAAAUAAACACUCGUAAUUUGCUUUAGGCGCGACUUAAAUGGUGAUUAUGUAUACGUUCGCAUAACAUAAUCGCGAAUUUCGUUUUAAAAAUAAAUCGAGGGAAGCGUUUGCGCAACUUCAACCAAAUUUUCUUAAUAAUUAAUAAAGUGUGAUUAAUUGUAGACACGUACACGUGACAUGAUUUUUGAUGCGCCAAACGAAAUGAGUACACGUGUGCGAGACUCAAUUCUAUAAUUACGGAUAAUCAAGCAAUUAAAAGCAGUAAAAGGUAAAUGCACAUUGGUUCUAAAAUAAGUAAUUAGACAACUUAAGCCAAGUAUAAAUCGCUAAGUGACCGUGGUAGAACCACGAAACUCGGGAAUGUCUAACACCUUCUCCCGGAUUAAUAGAAUUCCUUACUUAGAAUUUCUGAUUCGCAGAUUUAACUGAAAAGGUCGCGUAAGCAAGACUAGCUUCAUGAGAAAAGUUGAUAAGCGCUACGGACACAAACUGGUACUGGGUGCAAGACAACUAAGUUGAUUUUAAAGGGAAGAAUUACCUUGCCUUAGGGAUGAGGGUUAGCAGUACCAUGGACAUCCGAGUAUGAAACAGCCAGGGGCAACGUCGGAAAAUGAGGUCUCUAGAAUGCAAUAUAGAGUAUCCGAGCACCUCGGUACCACAAUGAUAGAAUCAGUUCUUCAACAGCGGAGUGGGCGUGAACUCAAACUACAAUAAAGUAUCAAGGCCACAAAUCGACCACCACUUUGAAAACUCAUAAAUUUUUCUUUAUUUGAAGCAGGAACAAAGUAGUGAAGAAUAGAGAUUCUCAAAGGAUGAAUGUCACCAAACGUAAGCUCUUUAAAAUCUCCAUUUUCUUUUAUUUUCAGCAUGCAUCACUACUGUUCACACCUCCCAGUUUCGUAGCUUAACUCAGGUAGAACCAUUUCGCCUAGAGGGAUCCAGCUCAUAGUUCCAGGUAGAAGUACUCUUCGCUCAGGGUAUUUUACAUAGCUUAACUCAGGUAGAACCAUUUCGCCUAGGGGGAUCGAGCUCAUAGUUUCUGGUAGAAGUACUCUUCGCUCAGGGUGUUUUACGUAGCUUAACUCAGGUAGAACCAUUUUUCCUAUGGGGGAUCUAGCUCAUAGUUCCAGGUAGAAGUACUCUUCGCAUAGGGUGUUUUACGUAGCUUAACUCAAGUAGAACCAUUUCGCCUAUGGGGAUCCAGCUCAUAGUUCCGGAUAGAAGUACCCUUCGCUCAGGUUGUUUUAUGCAACUUAACUUAGGUAGAACUGUUUCGCCUAGGGGGAUACAGCUCAUAGUUUCGAGAAGAAGUACUCUUCACUCAGGGUGUUUAUAUAGCUUAACUCAGGUAGUACCAUUUUGCCUAGGGGGAUCCAGCUCAUAGUUUGGGUAGAAGUACUCUUCGCUCAGGCUGUUUUACAUAGUUUAACUCAGGUAGAACUUUUUCACCUAGAGGGAUUCGGAAUUUUAUCCAUAAUACGUCGGUUUCCUAUAUUUGGAAAUUUAAAAAUAAAUCGGUGACUUGGGACACCAAAUAAAGUAUCCCAAGUGGCGACUCUGAUAAAUUAAAUAAAUAAUCCCAUUUCGAAUAAUGUCAUUUUAAUUGGAAAAACUCUAUUAUAUCCCCUCUCGGGCGGGUAAAAAAGGAGGUGUGAUAGCUCUGGAGACUCUGCUAGGGAUGAGAACCCAGAAUCUUUGGUUCAGGGUUCAAGAAUUCGAGCUUGUUAAUGUGAUUUUUACCUGGCUUUAUUUAUUGUUGUUAUUACUGUAUUUUGGGGUACCUAAUGUGCUCAUUGCUAUUUAUUUACUGCUUUGAUAUUACUUGAAACUGUAUUUAAAUGUCUUCUUAUGCCUCCCUUUUGAGUCUUCUAAAAAACAGUGCACACGUUUGCGUGGCCCACUUUUUCUGUUAGAAGUUAAUAGAACAAGGCUGGGCAAGCAACAAGGCCGAGCAGACUUUCACGCUCCCGGUACGUUGCACCCUCCUCGGCUCGAGUCUAUUCGUCGGGUAAGCCAGGUCUAGAACACAACCCCAGGUUUAAACUUAGAAUAACAUAACUUCAUGUCGGAUCCCAGUAGGAACGUUUAUUUCCAUCACGUGCAUUUGACCUCGGCAACUCAACACAGGGGUUCGGUCCAUCUAGGCUAGGUGUACCCAAAAUAAAAGACCAUCCUGAUGCAUCCUACGUGGUAAGAAGGGAAAAUCCUGAUAUUUGAAAAUGUCUCGAAACUCUACCAAAAUUUUGAAAAGAAAAAAAAGGGAAAAUGUAUGUCAAGAAAAAAAAAGUGAGUCAAUAUCAUGUUUUUUUCAAUUAUGUCAAAAUUUACCGAACUACGCAGGUCUGAUUCUCACCGGAUGUGGGAUACAUAAGCAACCUACAUAAGGGUUGGCCUCAUUUUUGCAAAAACUAGCCAAAUAAAUGUAGUUUAGGGCUUUGGCCAAAAGAACACGCCAACCUGGCUUCGGUUAUGUCUUAAGCCGUUCUUGCUGGGAUAGCCUUAGAAUAUCUUUCAAUUGUCGAAGGGCUAUUUUCAUGAACAACGGGCAAGUCUGUCAAUAAGGUGUCAUUUUCCCACAAAGUACCUUCCCCAGGCCUUAAAAUUUAUUUAGAAUUGUGAAGGGGCCACGUUUACAAAAAUGACCACUUUUGCUAAAAUAGCAUAGGGGGCUAUCUUUCGUUGAUUCUCUCUUUUUUGUUUUGGAAAUUGAAAACUUGUUUCACAAAGGAGUCCACCAGAGUCAACUCUAACCUUAACAAUCCACAAGUACAAAUAAAUACUGUCCAGAACCCGUCAUAAUUGGUCAUAGAGUAGGCUCAGCUGUAGCUUCUUAUGUGGUGGAAUGAUUCAGAUGAAGAUGGUCAGGAUUGGGUAAAAGAGUAGUUGGGUGCCCUUAUAGACAUUAUGAAAAUCCAACCCGAGAGGAUCUAAUCAAGGCUUUGAUAACCUUUUGGGAUCCUGUCCACAACGUGUUCCGUUUCUCGAAUUUUGAGCUCACCCCCGCUCUGGAGGAAAUGGAUGGAUAUAUUCACUUUGACCGUGACUUGAGGAAACAACAACUUAUAUUCCUAAGGGCUUCCUCUCUGCACAAGUUCUUUGAUCUUUUGAAUAUCAGUAAGGAAAUGAAGAAGGCCUACGUAAACAAAGGAUGUUGUUCUUUCUACUUCUUGUACUUCAGGUUCGGGCACUCAGUUGGGUUUGAAAUGCAUGAAAAGGGAUUAAAUAACAAACAAGAUAAGAGCCUCUGGCAAAUUCAUCGUCGGUUCAAUUUCAUUGUGGUGUUUUUGGGAGUUAUGGUCUUUCCGAAUGCAGAAGGGACAAUAGAUACUCGCAUGGCCAGAAUUGCACAAAUUAUCACUACUAAAAAAGAUCACACACUUGUUCCGUUAGUGCAAGCUGACAUUUGUCGAGCAUUAACCUUUUGUCAAUCCAUGGCUCAAUUCUUUUAGGGUUGCAACAUUCUUCUUCAAAUGUGGUUGAUCGAGCAUCUUCGCUGUCACCCCAAGUUCAUGAGUUAUGGUUCGAGCGGGAACAACUUCAUCAUGGAUUAUGAGGAAAGGGUGGAAGACUACAAUUCUCCACAAGGGUUUGAGGCUUGGGUCUCCCAUUUAAUAACUCUAAAGGAAAGUUAGAUUGAAUGGACCUUAGGAUGGCUUCUGGUAACGGAAGUCAUACACAUGACGGCUUCAAAAGGCUACCUAAUGAUAAUGGGUCUAAGGAUUAUCCAACCAUACGCACCGCAAAGAGUUCUGAGGCAAUUGGGAAGAUAUUAAGUGGUAGCCGAAGAUGUAGAUUUGAGUACCCAAUUCAUUGAGCUACACCCAGAAGCAACACUAUCUGAGGCUUUAGUCUAAUGGGAUUGGAAUGGUUGCCGAUAUCUGAAAAGUGACACCCAGGUACCAGAUCUUGCAAGAGGAGAAAUGGAUCCAAGUUAUGCUGCACGAUUUGAGAGAAGACCUUGUACGAAUAAUGAGCCCGAGCCCGAGCCUGAAAGACCCGCUAAAAGACCUCAUGUUUAGGCUUUUGAUGAUAAAAUCCGGGAAAGGUUGGCCUGGGGAGAGAAGGAGAAAAAUAUCAAGUCACCAUUCACACUUUGGAAGAAAAAUUGAGAAACAUAGUAUUUAAUAAUGAUAUACAUGCACAAGAAGCUGAGGGUGAAAGGAUAAGGUUGGCCCAAGAAAAUGAAUCUCUUCGGGCCCAAAUACGGAGAAUGAAAAUAGCAGCUAAGAACCCGGUCAGAAGUAGAAAAGAUGAAAAGCUCACCUACAGCCUUACGCAAAAAGUAUGUGACUAUGAGGAUGAUUUGCAAAAGACUGAGGCUGAGCUAGCAAAAUCCCGAACAAAGUUUGCCAGAAAUGCAGAAGAGCAUGAAAGUUUUGUUCGACAGUUGAAGGAAAGAUAUGACAGAGGAUUCAUGGGCUGGAAAAAGGAGCUUAAUAGCCUUGAGGGUAAAAUGACAAAACAAGCCAAGAGCUUCAAAGCCAAAAGAGAACACUGCUACGCUUUGAUGGUACAACUUGAGGAAGACCUAUAGCAUUUGCAAGAGCAGAAUCAUAUGGCCACCUAGGUUUGGGAGGCCAGAUCUCAGCAGAUUGGGCGGUUGUUACAAGAGAAGGGCAUCAUCAGGGAAAGGGUUAGAAGAAUUGUCGACUACAUUAUGAUGAAGUGAAAUGAGUGCGAGGACAUGACUAGGUCCAUGUUCUUUGCCACAGUAAUGAUAUUUGUUUGCUAGAUACUGGAUGACCUCUAUCGCCUCCAGGAAGACAUGGCACGUAGGCCCGCGGCAAGACCAACCGAUGUCCCUAGGGCAGGAUUGGAGGCACUUAUGUACUCAUGAUUGUAUUCUUUUCUCUUUUCGAGUCUGUAUUUUCAUUCCUAGAGUUUGUUUUGAGUCUAUAUUAGUUUUUAAAUUCUUAAGUAUGCAUGAUCGAGUCUUUGUAAUAUAGAAAAAUUAGAAGUUUUUGUUUUAAUGAAAAUUUGAAAAAACCCAAAAAUUGUUUAUUUAUUUCGCAUUUAUCCUUUGAACUACAUGAUGAUCUGAUUCAUGCAGCGUCGUGAUACGUAGGCAAUCCCCAUUAGAUCCGGUCAUGGUUUUAAAUAACUUAAAGAAAAGAGAGAAAACAAGAAUAAGAAAGAAAACAAUGCAGGAAAGAAAGUACAAAGAAAAGAGAGCAAAUAAUAAAAAGCGCCAAAAAAGAAAAGAAAGAUGCAAAGGUUUGGGGGAUAGACCAAAGCCGGGAUGAGACACGCAACCAUUACAAAACAUGUAGAAACACAUUUAACUAUUUAGGUGCAUUGUAUUCCCUAACGUGUGAUACCCUAUGUGUUAAUUGCCUCAAACUAACCGGUUUGUUGUGUCUGCUGUUGAGAUUAGGCUCUGUUCUUUAAGGUGGUUGGUUUUGUGGUAACCUGGCUUCACACCCAUACUUUACAAGGUCUAAAGAAAGUGUCGAAAUGAUGUCAUAAAUUCAUCUACCAAUAAUUACCCCUAAGAUGAUAGCCCGUUGUCGGUGAUCCCGACGUUAGAGUCAGCAGCUGCUAAAGAGAACAUGGCACUGCGCCUUCGCAUGUUGGAAAUGUGGGAGGCUUGGUCUAAUGGUAGAGAGCCACCAGUGCAAUACCUGGUUUUGCUGAACUGAUUCCCAGAACAAGUGGGACCUCCAAUAUCCCCAUAAAUUACCCGACCACCCCAUUCGGAUACCCUACUAUCUCAACCCAUUUCACCGGAACACCUUCUGAGGUUUGACCCCAGGCUCUAGUUUCGGGAGUGUCUUCUAACAUAUUCACCGCACCACCAACUUCAGCUACGAUACAACCAACCUUCCCCAGGCCAAGUUUUGAGCCAACAUCCUUUACUUUCCAAACAUCGCCCUUUCCAUCGGACACGACUCAUGUCACCCUAAACUCCUACCCUCCACAACCUCGGUAUGAGUUUACCGCGGGACAAGAGAGAGCUACAAAGAAUCCCGAGCAAGAGGAAAUAACUCGGAAAAUGAAAAGCAUGGAACAAAGCCUCAAGAAUAUACCAGGCAUAAGUGGACAGAAAAGUGUCUCCUAUUCUGACUUAUGCAUGUUUUCGCAUGUUCAUCUGCCCAUCGGUUUUAAGACUCCCGAGUUUGAAUAGUAUGACAAACAUGGGGACCCUAUAGGUCACCUGAAAAGGUAUUGCAAUUAGUUGAGGGGAGCGGGCGAAAAAGAAGAGCUCCUAAUGGCUUACUUCUAGGAAAGUCUAGUUGGAAUUGCAUCCGAAUGGUAUAUAUACCAAGACAUCUCCUGCUGGCACAUAUGGGAUGACUUGGCCCGAGAUUUUGUUAGACUGUUCCAGUACAACGUGGACAUAGAUCCAAAUAGAAACUCCUUGUCUAAUUUCAAGAAAAAAUCUUUGGAGAGCUUUCGAGAGUACGCCGUCAAGUGGCGUGAACAAGCUGCCAGGGUGAAACCCCCAAUGGAUAAGACCGAUAUGGUCAGUGUCUUCCUGCAAGACCAAGAGGCUGAUUACUUCCAAAACAUGAUGUCCUCUAUGGGAAACCCAUUUGUGGAAGCCAUAAAUAUUGGGGAAAUGGUAGAGAAUGGUUUGAAAACGGGCCGCAUCCUGAGCCAGUCGGUUAUAAGAGCUACUUCUCAAGCAAUCCAGAGCGGGUCAGGGGGCGUGGAAAAUAGGAAAAAUAAAGAGGAAGUUGCAACGACAACUUCAAGUCUGAGAAAACCCCGUCAGCCCCGAGGUUACUUCCCUCCAAACACCCGCAACAUUAUUAUCCUCACCAGGAUACGGCUUAUGCCAUGACUCCUCAGCCUUAUGCAGUGAUGAAUGCCCAGCCAUACGCUCGGCCACAACAACAGUUUAACCAAAACCGAGCUCCACCUCCUAGAAAUAACCCUCCUUACCAAGCUCGAUAUAAUCCCCGUCCCCCAUAAAAUAAUUUUCCAUACAAUGCCCGUUCCCGUGAGCCUCCUAGAAGAACCAAUUUCAUGCCUAUCGGUGAAUCAUACUCUAGCCUUUUUCCUAAGUUGCUCCAAAUGGGUAUGUUGCAGCCCGUACCUUUAAAUAGGCAAAACUAGAGUCGCCCUCCUACCGACACGGUACCCAAUGUGCUUAUCAUUCAGGGGCAGAAGGGCACGACACGAAGGAUUGUUGGACCCUAAAAAGAGCGGUUGAAAAUCUGAUAGAACAAAAAUGGGUAGUGCUAAGGGAUGAAGAGGUCCCUAAUGUAACCAACAACCCAUUACCAGCUCACAAUAACGGGCCAGUUAUUAGGAUGAUCUGUGAAGACAAAGAGCUUAACCCAUCUUUGAAAUCUAUCAUUGCUAUUGUCAAGACCGGGGCAGUGCUUUCCAAUGAUGCCAUUCUAUAUGUCCCCAGGGCACCCAGGAAAGAACAGUUUAUGUUGAGUCCCCCCAAAAGGUUUGAGCAAAACAAGGUCACACCUAAGGUACUAAAGACGUACGUACCAAAUGGGAUUUAUGUGGCGCGGGGGCCAGUAAUUUCAUCCAAGCUGACUGAGCCCGUGGUUAUCAACCGCGCACCAUAAAAGCCCAAGGAUCCCACUGCCAUCCCCGGGAACUACAACAAAGCGUUAGUGACGUAUAAGGGAAAAUAAAUCAUAGGGGAAGUGAAUGAAACAAUCCCGUCGGGGAAGUACUUCAAUUUGGAAGAAGUGAACAAUGCCAAACAGAAGCGUUUUCCACUUAAAAAGCCAGUUAGUUCCGAAGAAGCAGAGGAAUUCUUCCGAAAAAUGAAAACCAUGGACUACAAAGUAAUUGACCAACUCCGAAAGUCUCUUUCCCAGGUCUCGCUUUUGUCUCUACUCAUAAUCUCGAGUGAACAUCAGAAUGUGAUGAUAAAAACCCUUAAUGAGGCAUAUGUUCCGGCCGAGACUACUAUUAAGCAAUUGGAAAGAAUGGCGGAACGAUUCCUUGAAGUCAACCGGAUUUCAUUUAGUAGAAAAGACUUGCCCCCAGAAGGGGAUGCCGACAACAAAGCUCUUCAUUUGACAGUUAAAUGUGAAGGGUACUACUUGAAAAGAGUCAUGCUGGAUGGCGGAUCUGGGGUUGACAUCUGCACUCUCUCAACUUUGCAAAGAAUGGAAAUUGGGAUUGAGAGAAUCAGGCCUAACAAUGUUUGUGUACGUGCUUUUGAUGGCAUCAAGAAAGACACAAUAGGGGAGAUUUAUUUAAUCUUAACUAUCGGUCCUGUGGAUUUUGAAGUGACAUUUCAGGUCUUGGACAUGGACCCUUUCUAUAAUUUUCUCCUACGAAGGCCUUGAAUCCAUGUGGUAGGGCCAUACCUUCUACUCUACACCAAAUGGUUAAGUUUGAACACGAAGAUCAGGAAAUUAUGGUCCAUGGAGAAGACGAGCAAUCAAUUUAUAGGGACCCGUCACUCUCACGUGUGGAGGCUAAAGAAGGUAGCGAGCACAUAGUCUACCAAGCUUUCGAGAUUGUGGUCGCAGACCAAUGUGAGGAAGGAACUUCGUGUCCUCAACCCUUUUUGUCCAACGCAUCAAUCAUGGUUGCCAGUGAGAUGAUCAAGCAUGGCUACAAGCCCGAGAAAGGGCUCGGGGCAUCUUUGCAAGGCAUUACGGAGCCCAUCACCUCGACUGCCAGUGACAACUUCUUUGGUGUCGGUUUCCAAGCUACAGAAGCUGACGUGAAAUGGGCUAAAGAACACAAGAAUGACAGGUGGGUUCUACCUCAGUCGGUCCCACAUCUCGCCAGAACUUUUGUUAAACCAAGAUACAUAGAGGAACAAAAUGAGGCCUUUACGACAGAGGAAAUUGAGGACAUAUGUGGAUCUAUGAGGAAAAUGUUGUAUGAGGCUCACAUGCUCCAUCCGGGAGAAGGCUCGAGCACUAAUGAGGUGCUAUAUAUGGGGCCCGAUGCCAAGCUUCAAAAUUGGAAGGCUACUCCGUUCCCAGUCAGGUGGGGGUCCCAGUAGUUCAGUCUUGCCAUCUUUUCUGCAUUCCAAGUUAUUUCAGGGUGUAACUCGAAUGCCUUUAGUUUAUUAUCUUUAAAAUUCCAAUGUAAACCCUUUUAUCUUCAAUUCAAUGAAAUAAAAUCAAUAUUUCAUCGUCUAUGAGUCUCUUUCUUUAUUAUUUUUGAUUUUGGUUACUUUUCUUAUUUCUUCUUUCAGUUCUAAGAAUGCGGACUUAAAUAACAUGACAUGCUUGCAGACUUCAUGCCCAGAUCCUAACACAUUGUCUGAUUGUGAAAUAAUGAAUCAAGAACAAGAAUACGAUGAAGAUGAGGCUUUUAGGGAAAUAAACAGAGAAUUGGAACAAUUUGAGAAUAAGCCUAAGCCAAACUUAAAUGAAACUGAGCCAAUAAUAUUGGGUAGUUCAGAAGAGGUCCAGGAAACCAUGAUAAGCAUUCACACUGAUGAAAGAACUAGGAAUUAGUCCAACUCUUGUCCGAAUUCAAAGAUGUGUUUGCUUGGUGCUACGAUGAUAUACCAGGACUGAUUGUUGAUUUAGCGGUGCACAAAUUGUUAACUUACCCCGUUCAUCCCCCCUGUUCAACAAAAGCAGAGAAAGUUAAAAAUGGAUAUCAGUGACAAGAUUAAAAAAGAAGUCACCAAACAGCUGAAAGUGGGUGUGAUUCGAGUGGUCCGAUACACCACGUGGUUAGCCAAUGUGGUGUUAGUGCCAAAGAAAGAUGAGAAAACCCGAGUGUGUGUUGAUUAUCGAGAUUUGAAUAAAGCAAGCCCGGUGGACAACUUCCCAUUACCAAACAUCCACAUCAUUGUUAAUAACUGUGCUAAACAUGAGAUACAGUUUUUCGUGGAUUGUUAUACUGGAUAUCAUCAGGUUUUGAUGAUUGAAGAAGAUGUAGAAAAGACAGCCUCACCACGCCUUGGGGUACCUAUUGUUAUAGGGUCAUGCCUUUCGGUUUGAAGAACUCCGGGCAACUUACAUGAGAGCUAUGACUGCCAUUUUCCAUGACAUGAUGCACUAGGAAAUUGAGGUGUAUGUGGAUGAUAUGAUCAUUAAAUCAAGAACGCAAGACGACUAUGUGCGGGAUCUGAGUUGAGCAUUUGCGUAAUUGAGGUUAAAUCCAGCUUAGUGUGUAUUUGGAGUACCAUCUGGGAAACGUUUAGGGUUUGUAGUCAGUCGGAGGGGCAUUGAGCUAGAUCCAAGAAAGAUAAAUUCUAUUCGGCAUUUGACUCCUCCAAGAACCAAGAAAGAGGUUUGAGUCUGUUGGGUAGGUUGAAUUACAUCAGCAGAUUCAUUGCUCAGUUGACUUCCACGUGUGAGCCUAUCUUUAUGCUGUUGAAGAAAGAUGCGGCGAUUAGAUGGACAGAUGAGUGUCAGGAAGCUUUUGACAAAAUCAAAGAAUAUUUGUCGAAUCUUCCAGUGUUGGUUCCACCCGAUCCAAUCCAUCCACUGCCGUGUCCGCUCCCUACUCACCUUCUUUGGGCAUGAAGGAGGAUAGAUCGAACUCCAAAGUUUGCAUUUUGUGGAGCUCAGUCUUUAUUGUGGCAACAUCAUCACGGAGCUUUGGCAAGUCACCAACCUCACCCCACUCUAUCAUUUCAACCCGCACCUCAAGCUGGUUCAGGCGAUCCUUAUAAGAUGUUUGUUGCUGUUGGAUGGUCGUCACUGAGGAUUGGCUAGGAGUCAAUGUCUGCUUGAUGAGGGUGGGAAGGUUCUUCAAAAGCUGGUCUACCUUAGCAUUUGCAUGUUGAGCUAAGAAACCAAGCCUCAAAAUAGCUAGCAGUAUGGCAGAAGGCUGAGCAACGGUAGCCUGAGAGGUGGGUUGUGGAGUGGAAGUGGAUGCAACAGUAGCCUGAGGAGACAUGUGAGUCUGGGAAUCUGAGGGCUCUAUAUCAGCAUGAAUCUGGGUCUGAACCUCUGGAGAGAAACAUCUAGUGCAUCAUUAAUGUGCGUGAUAUCAAUAUCCUUCAGUGCUUUCCCUAUUUUGUUAGUGUGUGGCAUUGUAGGGACUUCCACAGCCUUAUAGAGGGCUGUGAUCAAGCAUGGGAAUAGCAGUGACGUAGCUGUCUGGUUGGCCUGGAUCUCUAACUCUCGGAAGAUGAAAUCACCCUCAUCAAUCUUUAUCCCAGUCAUAAUGCAUACAAUGAGAAGAGCUUUCUCAAUGCUUAUGUUAGUUUCAUUUCGAGACGGUAUCAAUCAAGAGGUGACAAAACUGAGCAAGAAUCGACCUUCUCAUGUAAGAUCUUCCUUGAAUAUUUUGUGUACAGGGUAAAUCCAAGCAGGGGUCCCCUUGGCUAUCACUGACGCUAUCUAACUACGCUCAUUAUCCCGGUUUGCCCAUUUGGUGUCAUACUCAGCUGUGCCCGGUCUCCAGUCAGGGAAGUUGAACUCAUUGAUGGUAUCACUGUUGCAGAACACCUGCUUCCUCCGAACCAAGAUAGUAUCAUAGAAAACUUUGUUGCGCUUGUGGUGAGGGGUCCUGGAGGCUCCAUAGGAUGCAUAAAAUUCACAGACUACUGUCUCAUUGUAAUCAUCUGGUAGCUCAGUGAAGCACUCCCAUUUUCUAACUUUUAUGUUCUCUAGUAUGUGAGGGCACUGCUCCUGUAGCCCGUUCGAACUUGGUUGUUUCUAGACGAGUAUUUUUCAUUUUGUAAGCCCUUCUCUAUACAGCUCCCUAGAGUCGUCGACCCUAAACCUGAGUUGGAAGUCAUCUCCUCUUUUCCUUCUUGCCUCAGCUUGUAGGUCAACUGAAGGCAAGGUCUCCUCCUCAUCAGACUGGGAGGGAUGUGCUGCAGUAGGGUCUGGUCAUGAAUGUUUGGCUUGUUGUGCUUGACGACUGGUGGAGGACCUUUUCUUGGAAGAAGACACAUGUUUCUUAGGAGCCAUAUCUGCAAAGAAAUAAAGUGUGAGAACAUAGCAGACAACAGGAGAAAAAGUACAAAUAAUUACAAGUAUGCGACAGGUUAUGCGGUCGCAUAACCACUAUGUGGACCGCAAACAUGUCGCAAACUUUCUCUCUACUGAAGGGAUAUAGUUAUGCAAUAUGUUAUGCGAUCGCAUAUCCAUUAUGUGGUUCGCAUAACCAUCGCAUAACUAAAUGAUAGGGAAGUACAUUUACACUAUGCGAUCGCAAAGUCCACUGCAAAGAUGGAUUUGUGAUCGCAGAAUUUCCGCAAACAACAAACUACAAAAGGCAUGAAACUAUUUUAGUAUGCGGUGACAUUGUAGUCCGCAUAUCGCUUAUGCGAUCGCAAAGUCGCCGCAUUUUUUCAUCUUCUUCAGGACACCUAGGUUUCAUUCUGCGGCAACAAUGUGGAUCGCAAAUCGACUAUGCGAUCUGUAAAAGUCAUCGUUCUCACAUUUUGAACUCCACCCUCAACAAUGGCGAACCUAGUUUCACUACCUAGCACCCCCAAACCUAACUACCUAUCCAAGCACUCCCUCACAUUAUGAACAGAUACCCACAUACGAAGAGGAAAAAAGAACAAAAACUAAAGGAAACAAAAAUAGGAAAAACACAACAAAAUAUAAACUAAAAUUUACAAGGAUGAAAUCAGGAGAUGAGAACAUACCAGUGAUAGGGAAAUGAUAUUGGGAGAUGAAAUCAACAGGUGUUGUUUACUCUUUUCGAUUCAACUAGCCGUUUUCCUUCUCUUUUUUUGUUUUGUUUUGCUUUCUUUCUGAUAAAAAAAAAUUCUUUUCUUUUCUUUUUCAAGUGUUUGAAUGCUGAUGAUAUGCGAGGGUUAAUUACCUAUCCACUUUGAAUUGCUCAAUUAAAUCUAUCUAAAAACAGUUAAAAUUUAAAGAAUAAAAAAGAUGUUACGACACAUGGGUUACCUCCCAUAAAGCGUUUGAUUUAAUGUCACGACACGAUGUGGUUGGCCUUUAUUUGGGUUCACUCAUUGGUCGGGAACGGACCAUCUUUGAGAGCCAACUGUUCCACCAAAUGUUUUUAUCCAUAUGUGCCCAAGUAGUGCUUGAUUCGCUGGCCAUUUACUUUGAAGGUUCGGAGCCUAUCCUUUAAUUCUAAUUCCACAGCUCCAAAAGGGGAUACAUUGACCACUUUGAACGGACAAGACCAUUUUGAUUUGAGCUUGCCCGAAAAUAAUUUGAUCCUUGAGAUGAAUAGCAAAACUAAGUCACCCGACUUGAACUCCCUUUUUAAUAUUUUUUUGUCGUGGACGAACUUCAUCCUUUCUUUGUACACAGCUGCACUUUCAUAUGCAUGGAAAUGGAAUUCCUCUAUUUCAUUGAGUUGUGUUAACCUCUAAUUUGUAGCUUCAGCCCAAUCCAAGUUUAACCUCUUUAAAGCCCACAUAGCUUUGUGCUCCAGUUCUAAGGGUAGAUGACAAGCCUUGGCAAAGACUAACCGAUAAGAAGAAGUGCCAAUAGGAGUUUUGUACGCCGUGCGAUAUGCCCACAAUGCGUCAUCUAGCUUUCAUGACCAAUCGGUCUUGUUUGCAUUAAUAGUCUUUGCCAGAAUGUUCUUUAUCUCCCGUGAAAGACUUGUUACAGAAAUGAGACCCGCCAUCACUAAGAAUGGCUCUAGGAGUGCCAAACCGCGUGAAUAUGUUUUUCUUUAAGAAUGUGGUCACACUCCUUGCCUCGUUGUUUGGUAUGGCAAUUGCUUCAACCUAUUUGGACACAUAGUCCACAGCCACCAAGAUAUAUUUCAUACCAUAAGAGCUUACAAAGGGGCCCAUAAAAUCAAUGUCCCACACAUCAAAUAUUUCUAUCUCCAUCACAAAGUGCAUUAGCAUUUCAUGCCUUUUGGAGAUUGAUCCUUGCCUUUGGCAUUGGUCGCAAGCCUUGACCAUUUUAUUGGCAUCAUGAUAAAUCAAUGGCCAAUAAUAACCACAUUCAAUCACCUUUUCCGUCGUUCGAUUACCCCAUGGUGACCCCCGAUCGUUGAGUCAUGGCAUGCCUUUAGAAUUGGCAUAAUCUCCUCUUCUAGAACACACCUUCGGAUGAUGUUAUCAGCACAAACACGGAACAAGAAUGGUUCUUUCCAAUAGUAUUGUUGACAAUCUCUCAAAAACUUCUUCUUUUGAUAGAAUUCCAAUCCAUCCGGAAUAAGGCCACUAACCAACUAGUUAGCAAUAUCAGCAUACCAAGGAGCAAAAGUGCAUCCGGGAAAGCAUCGUUGAUUUCAAGAUUUCCCUUUAGUCUCCCUGCCUCUUCAAGCCUUGAUAAAUGAUCUGCCACUUAAUUUUCUGUCCUUUUUCUAUCUUUGACUUCGCAGUCAAACUCUUGAAACAACAGGACCCACCGAAUCAACCUAGGCUUUGCAUCCUUCUUUUCCAUAAGAUAGCGAAGAGCAGCAUGAUCUGUGUACACUAUCACCUUGGAUCCCAACAAGUAAGCCCGGAAUUUCUCAAAGGCAUAGACAAUGGAAAAAAGUUCUCGCUCAGUCAUCUAUAAUUCAUUUGGCUCCAUUGAGUGUCUUGCUUGUAUAAUAGACCAGGUGAAGAACCUUGUUGUGACGUUGGCCAAGCACUGCUCCAAUAGCUACACCACUAGCGUCACACAUGAGUUCGAAUGGAAGAGACUAAUCGGGUCUGACAAUAAUAGGUGCCGUGGUGAGCUUUUGUUUCAAUUCAUUAAAGGCUUUGAGUCAUUUCUCGUCAAACACAAAUUUUGCAUCUUUCUCAAGGAGUUUGCACAUAGGAUUUGCAAUCUUGGGAAAAUCCUUGAUGAAACGCCUAUAAAAUCCGGCAUGCCCCAAGAAACUUCGAACACCUUUAACUGAAGUAGGUGGAGGAAUCUUUGAAAUGAUCUCGAUCUUUGCUCGGUCAACCUCUAUGCCAUGUUUUGAAAUUUUAUGCCCCAAUACAAUGCCUUCAUCCACCAUGAAAUGACAUUUAUCCUAGUUAAGCAUAAGGUUGGUCUCCUCACAUCUCUUGAGCACUUGUCUAAGAUUGUUGAGACAAUGCUCAAAAGAGUCACCUACCACCGAAAAGUCAUCCAUCAAAACCUCCAGAAUAUCCUCCACCAUAUCAAAGAAGAUGGACAUCAUGCAUUUUUGAAAAGUAGCCAGAGCGGUUCACAAACCAAACGGCAUCUGGCUAAAGGCAUAAGUUCCAUAAGGGCAAGUGAAUGUUGUCUUCUCUUUGUCCUCCAAUGCUAUAUUGAUUUGGUUGUAAUCAGAAUAUCCAUCAAGAAAGAAAUAGAAUGACCUUCUCGCUAGCCGAUCAAGCAUUUGAUCAAUAAAAGGCAUAGGGAAAUGGUCUUUGCACGUGGCACCGUUGAGAUUCCAAUAAUCCAUACAUACCCCCCAUCCGGUCACCGUUCUUUUUGGGGUGAGCUCAUUUUUAUCAUUUUCAAUCACGAUUAUGCCUCCCUUUUUCAGCACACAUUGCACCGGGCUCACCCAAGAACUAUCGGCAAUGGGGUAGACUACCCCAGCAUCCAAUCACUUGAUGAUUUAUUUCUUUACCACCUCUUGCAUGGACGAGUUCAACUGUUAUUGGUGUUCCACACUUGGUUUAGUCUCACUCUCCAAUUGGAUCUUGUGUUCACAAAUUCUGGUGGGAAUCCCUCGGAUAUCCGCAAUUGUCCAUCCAAUAGCUUGCCUAUUCUCCUUCAAGACAUUCAACAAUUGUUCUACCUGCAUAUCAUUCAAAUAAGAAGAAACGAUUACCGGUAAAGUAUCAUUUGAUCCAUGAAAUUAAUACCUCAAGUGUGGUGGAAGUGGUUUGAUCAAUAGUUGCGGUGGCUCAAUAAUAGAAGGCUUUGCGGGAGGAGUGGCUCUAUUCUCCAAGUCGAGAGAGAGCUUUGCCGGAGCAUAAGUGUAGUACCCAAGCCCCUCCAAUGCAUUGACUAAUUCUAUAUACCCAUUCGUAUCUUCACCAUCAAAGUUCACCAAAUAGCCGCCAAUGCCUCACCGAGGCAUUGUCCUUCCAUCUUCAUUUCAACCGCAUUUUCCAUUUCAUCAACAACAUCAAUCACCGAGAUGCUUUCAUAUUCAUGUGGUAGUUUCAUACCUUUUCUUGCUUGGAAUUUGACCUCUUCAUCAUUCACACGGAAUUUGAUCUCAUUCCAUUCCGAAUCUAUUAGUGCUCUUAUUGUGGCUAGGAAUGGUCUUGCCAAAAUAAUAGGGAUCUCUUUGUCAACCACACAAUCAAGGAUUACGAAAUCAGCGGGUAAAUAAAACUUUCCCACUUUAACAAGCACAUCGUAGAUAAUUUCCACCAGUCUCUUUAUAGAACGAUUGGCCAUUUGCAAUCUCAUACUUGUAGGCCUUGGCAUAUCUAACCCUGUUUGCUUGUAAAUGGCAAGAGGCAUUAAUUUUAUGCUAGCCCCAUUAUCACAAAGGGCUCUUGCAAACUCAUGUGCCCUAAUAGUAUAUGGAAUAGUGAAAUCUCCCGGGUCUUCUUUCUUUUGAACGAUGGAUGUUGCAAUGAUGGAACUAACCCGGUGAGUCACAUUCACCACUUCAUUCUUGGUGGUUCUCUUCUUGGUAAUCAUGUAUUUCAAAUAUUUAGCAAAAUCCGACAUCUCUUGAAAUGCUUCCACAAAUGGAAUAUUCACCGAUAAUUGUUUGAGAAUGUCAUAGACCUUUUCGAGUUUUCUAUCAUCAACCUUCCUAGCAAGUUUUUGAGGGAUGGAGGAGGAGGUCUAGGAAUAGGUGGUAGAGUCUUUGGUGUCUCUUUUACCUUUUCCUUUACCUCUUCCCGGUUUUCUUCUUGCACUUUCAACUCUUCCGAAACCUUUUCAACUUCAACAACACUUGGCUCUUCAACCUCAAGCUCAUUUACGGACUCUUCUACUUCAACCACUUGUUCACUCCAUCCUUGUAGUACCUUCCCACUCCGAUUAGUAAUUGCCAUGAUAUGAUCAGUUUGACCACUCCCACUACCCUUUGGGUUCGCAAUUGUGUCACUUGGAAGUGUCCCUUUUUGCUUCGGAUUUUGUUCCCUAGAGAGGUCUCUCAUUUGCAUCUAAAUUUUUUUAAUGGAUGCGGUUUGAGAGCCAACAAGCUCGAUCAUAUUCUUCAUAGAAGUGUAGGACUUCUUUUGAUUUUGCAAUACACGUUCAAGCAUGCUUUCCAACUUGGAAUCACUUGAGGAACCUUGAUUUGAAUAUUUACCCUUUGGAGGCACAUAAGGGUUGGAACUCCGAUUUGAGAAGUUAUUGUUGUUGUUAUUCCAAUUUCCUUGAUUUGAGCCAUCUUGGUCAUUUUGCCGUUGUUGGUUGCCUUGCCCUUACGGGUUAGGCCUCCAUUGAUUUUGUUGUCCUUGAACUUGGUAUUGUUGACUUUGAUAGCCUCCUUGAGAGUUGUUGACAUAGUUGGCUUCCUCAUAAUCUUCAUGUGAUGAUGGUUGAACAUCUUCUACCACAUUUACCUUCUUUGUUUGGCUUUCAGUGAACAUUUUUGUCAACACAUUGACAUUGGUGGCAAGCCUUGCAAUCACUUGAUCUCUCUCUUGAUUUUCCUUGAUCAUGGUGGUAAAGGAAGGAGAACCAUAUGCAAUUCCACCUAUGGUGUCCUCUAAGUGCCAAGCUUGAUUAUAUUUUGACAUUUUGUCAAGUAUUUGUGUGACCCUUGCGAAUGAUUUGUCCAUAAAAGAUCCAUCAGCUGCAUUCUUGGCUAUAGAUUGGUUCAUAGGAUCCAAACCCAUGUAGAAUUUAUCCAACAAGAUAGAAUCCCGAAAACCAUGAUUGGCAGACCUCACAAAAUAUAACUUGAAUCUAUCUCAUGCCUCAUGUAGAUGUUCUCCGAUACUUGUUUGAAAAAGAAAAUUUUAUCCCGGAGCUCAAAUUUCUUACUUUGCGGGAACCAUUUAGCUAAGAAUGCUCGGACUAGUUCAGGCCAAGAAUGAAUGGAGUUUGGUGGCAUAUUUUGAAGCCAUUUCCUUGUGUCCCCUGCUAGUGAGUACUUGAAAACCCUCAAUCUUAGGGCAUCAUCAGAGACGUUGUUCUGCUUAUGCAUCGCACACACACCCAAGAAGUUUCUAAGAUGUUGUGUCGGAUCAUCAUCAGUAGAAUUCCUAAAAAACCCCUCUGCUUUGAGCAUAAGUAUUAAAACAUGUUCCACCUUGAAAGUUGCAGCACUAACAACCGAAGGUACAAUAGCAUUUGUAUCCUCAAUGUACUCAUCUAUGUCUGCAAAAGGAUUUUCUUCCAUUUGUUCCUCCAUUUCUUCUUCAUAUUCGGCCAUGUUUUCCUAUCACCACCAAGCAAAACAAGCAAAGUAUGAUGGAAUAGAAUAAUACGUAAAGUAAAGCACACACUAAUUAGUAAUUUCAAAACCGUAUUCCCCGGCAAGGGAGGCAAAAUUUAAUACGCUCAAUUACACUUUAAUUAAAUAGUGUAAGGUGGUCGGUGUCAAAUAUAAUAACCCAACAAGGUUGGUGUCGAAUCCCACAGGGAAUAGGCGUGAAAAGGUUACUCGAGUAGUGUGCUACUUGACUUGGGUCGUAAUUCUAUUCCGUUAAUUGUAGCAAGAGAAUGAUAUGAUUGUGAUUUGAAGAAAUAAUUAAUUGUGACAUAGAGAAUGAAAAUAAUUUCAUUUAGGAAACCAAGGUUGUGUCCCCUUCAAUGAAGUGUAAUGCUAUCGGUGUUAAUAUGAUAUAUUCCUAAUGGAAGGUUCUUUAGAUAUGCAAAUGAUUUCUAAAUGACUACCCAAUAUUUUUCAAUAGUUGGAUAGUAUUUCCUCUUUAUUAUUUUUCCAAAUAUAGAAGAGUUGCAAUUAAUAAUAAUCAAUAUAUGCCAAAUAAAACUCGCUUAUUCCUAAGCGAUUCUAUUAAACAAGGUUUAAAGCCUUGAGUCUUUGAUAUUUAUUUCUACCAAAUUAUAACUCAAUCCAAGUAAAGAAAGAAUUUAAUGGCACUUGUUAAUGUUUGCAACCACCAACAAUAAAUGAAGAAUGUGAAAUACAUAUAUAUCAACCAACCAUUAUACAUAUAUUCAAUGUUAAACACCCAUUAACAUAACACCAAUUUAGGGUCCACAACCUUAGUAUUUAAAGUUAGCAACACAUGCUACAAUACAAAAAGAUGAGAAUAUUUAAUGCCAUAAAGCUUACAAAGUGCAAGAUUCUUCACUCAAAAGCGUCCAAAAGAGAGGAAUAUUAAAGACUUGGAAUGUAGCUAAAAAAUAAGACAAAAUGCCUCCACAAAACCCCAAUAAAUCUAUUUAUAGUGGGUCAAAACUCGGGAUAAAUUUUAGACAAAAACACCCUUACAAGUCAAUUAUGCGACCGCAUAUCUGUCGCAUAACAGACAUGCGGUCCGCAUUCUCUUCAAGACCAUCGCAUCUUCAAACCUUAGUUUCCAGGCAUUCAUCGCAUUUAGGUUAUGCGGUCCGCAUUGCCGAUUUGUGAUCGCAAUUUCCACCGCAUUUUCUGCCUUCAACAACUUCUACAACGAGUUUGUGAUCCAUUAUGUGGCCCGCAAACCUGUUAUGCGGUUGCAUAAUGGACCGCAUUUCUUGCACCUGACUUUGGCCAGCAAACUGUUGGACUCUGCGAUUUCUUUGAGCAUUAUGCAGUCCGCAUAUUGGAUUUGCGGCGCGUAUCUCCACCUAUGCGAUCGUAUUUUGCACUUUUCUUGACCUUUUUCGGCUUUUUAAUUUCAUUUCCAUGUUCUUAGGUCCUUAAACCGCAUACGCUGCAAAAACAUUAAAAUUACAUAAGUAUAGAAGAUAAUUGCAUUUAAAACAAGCUAAAACCUAAGCAAUUUGUAUUAAAUGUGCCAAAAUUCUCUGGCACAUCAAGAGUCUUAUUGGGGAAAACUCACACGGGUACUGUAAGAUGAUGGUGAGCAGAGAAAUUGAAAAUGAGAGAUUCUUGUUAGUGAAAACUCACAAAGAGGACUAUAAUGCGAUGAUGAGAAGAGAAAUGAGAGACGUCAAUUGGUGAAAACCUACAAAGGGCGCCAAUGAUCGAAAAAAAGGACUUCCUUACUACCAUCGGUACAUAUAGAGUCAUGGCAAAGUUUCUCGAUUUUGAGGUAUGAGUUAUGAUGGGUUCAUGAGAGAUUGGAUGGUUGCGCAAAUCGGGUGUCCAGUCCAAGAAGCAUGUUAUGUCUUGAAGUCAACAUGCACUCCUGAUAAGCCUUUCUUUCCUUCCCCCAGAAGGGAUACUUCUCGUUAAAUUCAUUAUCCUGUCCUUUGUUUACUUUUCUUUGAAUCCCUUUCGGUUUAAUCCUCCUCCAAAACUAAUACAAAGAAAAGAUGGCAAGAUUGGUUUUACAGGGUUCUGUUUAACAAAAGCUAAAUUCAAGGAAAAGCACCAUACCUCACUAGGUGCAUCAAUUCGAACUCGACUGGCAAUGAUGGCCGCUACUCCAAAGUCAAAAUUAUUGAAAAGGAAAGAAAUACAAAGUCAAGUGCCUGUAAAUGUGAAAUAAGAUGAAAAGGACAAAGCCCCAUACGGGCUAACCAUCAUGUGAAAUUUUGGAAAGUCUAGAUCCCUGAGUUUAGAAGAGAGAUCGAUCUCCAGAAAGCCAGCAAGCAAUACAUAUUUUAAUCGAAAGAGUUGAGGCGAGAUCAAGUGAUCAAAACAAUCAAGGCCACGAAACCAACCACCAUUUCAAACUGACAAAUUGUUCUUUGAUUUGAAAACAGGUGCAGUCCAAAACAACUCUACCAGCAGUAGGUGCAAUAAAAGUAAGGAACGUAGAAACCAAAAUGGUUCUGCAGCAAAAGUUGACCCGAAAAGGAAAGUCCUUUUACACUCUUCAUUCGUUAUCCUAAAUAAAACUGAAUAGUGAAGUAAAAAAAAGGAAGAAGAAAAAGAAAGAAGGAAGAAAAGAAGAAGAAAGAUUCAAAAUCAUGGUAGCCUAGGGUCUCCAAUCUCUAGCUACGUUUUUCCAACAUAGGGUCUCAUUCCCUAGUCGCUGUCAGCAUAACCUGGUAGCUUUUUCCAGUAUAGCAUCCCACUCCCUAGUUGAUCCCCGGCAUAACCCGAGUACCUUUUCUAGCAUAACCCGAUGACUUUUCCGGCAUUAUCCGUGGACCUCCCCGGCAUAACCCGAGGACCUUUUCGGCAUAACUCGAUGACUUUUUCGGCGUAAACCGAGGACUUUCCCGGCAUAACUCGUGGACUUCCCCGGCAUAACUCGAGGACCUUUUCCGGCAUAACCUGAUGACUUUCCUGGCAUAACCGAUGGACCUCUCCGGCAUAACCCGAUCACUUUCCCGACAUAACCCGUAGACCUCCCCGGCUUAACCCGAGGACCUUUUCUCAUAUCUCGAUGCCUUUCCCGGCAUAAUCCAUGGACCUCCCCGGCAUAACCCGUAGACCUCCCUGGCAGAACCCGAGGACCUUUCCGGCAUAACCUGGUCAUUUUUCCAACAUAACCUAGUAAUCUUCCCAACUUAGGGCCUCUGAUCCCCAUUUGAUUUCGUUUUAGAAAUAGGGUCUCCACUCCCUAAUAUCUUUUUUUCCCAAGGAUACACAAUCCUAAUUUUAUUUCUUUCAAUAAAGAAGUAGUUUAGAUUUUUUUUACAAUAACUCAUGAAUUUUCCUAGUUAAAACUGGGCAGAAAAAUUUUGUUCGUUUGUUUGCUUUGGUGCCUGAACAGGUUUUUACCAUGAGAAAAGAUGCAGACUGCCCAAGAUAUGAUGAACUCUAAGUAUAAAAGCAGAGAAAAGAUGUAAACUACCCAAGAUAUGAUUGAAGUCACAAGCCUUGCAUGUCCCCCCUUGAUCCGAAAAGCCAAAGAAGGAUGAAUCAGCGAUUGCAGUUAAACGAGCAUCAAGAUUUAGACCCGAGUCUACAGGAAGAACCAGCCAAGACUCAAGAUCAACCUUUAGAAGGUUUAUAGAUAGGAAUCUUGUAACUCGUGGUUGAUAGGCUAAGCUAGUUUAGCUUUUCAUCUUUUAUUUCGGUGUAAUAAGGAGCUCAGCAAGCAGAAACAAUAGGAAUAGCAGUGAAAUCACAGUUUUCCGGUAGUCCCAGCUACCAAAACUUCCAGAACUACACUGACCUGAUUCCUUUAUAGCCAUAGAUAUGUAGGAAACCUCCGAAGCAAGGUUCGAUCAGACUUUUUCAAAGGAUGCUUCUCAUGGAGUUUCAAACGGGCAACAAUCGCUCGUAAUUGCUCAUUUUAUCUUCGCCCGAAAACCCUUCGUGUUUCCGCGCAAAGAGAGGCAGCUGUGAGCAUGUAAUAUUUUGCGCUAUAUGAAUUACUCCUAUAAAAUCUAAGAAAAUAAUUUUUUUUUUGCAAUUAUUUGCCAUUUUAUAGGAUUUUAUUAAUUGUUCGCAUUUUUUUGCAUGUUUAUUUUUUAUUAAAAUCAUGAAAAAUAUCAAAAAUACCAUGCAUGGCAUAUAGGUUUUCUUUUUAUAUUCUUAGGAUUAAUUAGUUAAUUAUUUGGCUUAUUGAAAAUAAAGAUCACAAAAAUGACUCAUUUUUACAUUUUUUGUCUUUAAUUCUUAGUUUAGUGAUUUUUCUCUUUAAGUUUAGGAUCAAGUAAUAGUUUAAAAGUAAUAAUUAGAUAUUGGGCUUAAUUUUACAAUUUAGAUUAGUUUAGGAAUUUAAUUUAGGAUUUUUAAUCAAAGAGAAGAAAAGGAAAAAAAGAAAAGGAAUUAAGAGGGUUAAUUGAAAGAGGGAUUAAAUUUGGAAUUUGGACUGAUUUUAGGCUUAUACCCGUCCCAAAUUUGGCCCAAAUCACCCAUGCCCAAAAUCCUACCCGAUUUUAGUAAUAGUUUCAUCGCUAUCUGAUCCCAGACGUUGGAUUCUCUUGAUCCAACGGCUCACAACCCCACUUCUUUUUAUUAUUUAAUUGUCCUAACAAUACCCCCUACUCUCAGAACUCAACCCAACAACCCACCUCUGUAUCUCUCACCUCUCUCUUACCCCUCUAAAUCAUCGCCGCUGGCCACUGCCAGAAAUUGCCCCACGGCAGCGAUGAUACUCCAAACCACCUCAAAAUUUAGUCCUACAAUCCCCAGCCUCCCCUCAUCACUAUCCUACCAUCAAUUGCCCCAAAAUUCUCGCCCAUUUGUUCCAAUUUCAAAUCUGAGAUUCCAAAAGAAAAUUGAAAACCCUAAUCCAUCUCUAAUCUGAUUUCAACGGUUUCUAAGGCUUGAUUUGAGCCAAAGUUUACGCCAAUCGAUUGUUCUUGACAAGAACAAUUGAUUAGCAUUAGUUUUGUCUUAUUUCAAGACCUGUCAGAUUCCGCCCAAGCACCCACUGGCCGGCCUAACCUUAUCGUCUUCAUCGUUCAUUGGCUUGCCUCGUUCGUCAUCACAUUCAGGGCCAAAAUCAGUAUAUUUUCUUCCUAUCUCUUUGUUUUUGUUGCUUUUUUAUUUAUUUAUUUAUAAUUUAUGUGUUAAUCUUGUUUGUUUUGAUUGUUGGUUCAUUUAACAUGUCUUUUUUCUUAUCUCUCAUUCUAUUUAUAUGGGAUAUUCCCAAAAAAUUCUAAAAGUACAAACAGAGAGAAUAUUCCCUCUGAUGAUCCCAAUGCAAAACUAGUUGUUACUUUUAUCCACGCUGCUCGACCUCGGCCGUGAUUGACCGUUUGGCGGCUCAUUCCAUAGAUCACUGGUCGACCUCGGCCAAACCGCCCAUGAUGAUUUGCAAAUCACUCAUGAUAAUUGUCACACCUCCUUUUUUUACCCCGAAAGGGUAUAAGAGAGUUUUUUCCAAUUUAAGUAACAAUCGAAACGAGAUUAUUUAUAUUAAAUUCAGAGUCGUCACUUAGGAUAAUGUAUGGUGUCCUAAGUCACCGGUUUAAAAUCUUGAAUCGAGGAAGUUGAAUCUGUUAUACAGUCCGCGAGACACAGAAAUCCGGGUAAGAAAUUCUGUUAACCCCGAAGAAGGUAUUAGGCAUUCCCGAUUUCCGUUAUUUUAGCAUGGUCGCUUUGAUCGUACCUGGAUUAUUGAAUUGUUUAACUACUUAUUUUGGAACCUAUGUUCUUUCACCUCUUUUAAUUAAGAAAUUAUCUUAAAACAGGUUACGCGUACGUGUACCUAUGAUGACCUGGCCAGUCGUCUCAUAAGUUACCGCUCUGUUUCCCCCAUAUCUGCUUCUUUAUGCCUCGUUCUCCGUGUUUUAUGGUAUCAGGUUGGUCGGAUCAAGCCCGAAAUAAUUUUGGUAAGGUUUGAGACACUUGGUCUCUUUUAAGGAAGUUUAAGUUGGAAAUGUCAACCGAAUAUUGACUUAUGUGUUAGAAGGCUUGGAUGGGAGUUAAGAUGGUUCGGUUAGCUUUGGGAGGUGAUUUAUGACUUAGGAGCGUGAUCGGAAUGAGUUUUGGAGGUUCGGAGUUGAUUUAGGCUUGAAUUGGCGAAGUUGAUAUUUUGACGAUUUCCGGUUGAUAGGCGAGAUUUUGAUAUAGGGGUCGGAAUGGAAUUCCGUGAGUUGUAGUAGCUUCGUUGGGUCAUUUGGGAUGUGUGUGCAAAUUUUCAGGUUAUUCGGACGUGGUUUGGUCGGGUUUUUAUCAAAAGCGUAAUUCGGAAGAUUUUAGAAACAUAGGCUUGAAUCCGAUGUGUUUUGGGUGUUUUGAUGUUGUUUGAGGUGUUUUGCUGGUUGGAACAAGUUUGAAUAGGGUAUUAGGUUACGUGUGUGCUUUUGGUUGAGGUCCCAGGGGCCUCGGGGUGAUUUCGGAUGCUUGACGGAGAGGUUGAGAUGUUAUUGCAGCUGCUGAAGUUUUGUUGCUUCUGGUAUUUUCGCACCUGCGGUUUGGGGACAACAGGUGCGGCGCCGCAUGUGCGGAAGGGGAGAUGCAGAUGCAGAUUUGGGAGGAAUAGUCAGGAACCGCAUAUGCGGUAGAUGGACCGCAACUGCGGUGUCGCAGAUGCGGAGUGUAGACCGAAGAUGUGGAAUCUGGUCCGUUAAGUGAUUUCUGUAGAAGCAGAGGGUAGACCGCAAAUUCGGUACCGCAGAAGCGGCAAAGGUGCCGUAGAUGCAGAAUAACUAGGCUGAAGAAUUAAAAGAGUCCUUCGCAAAUUUUUGGGCUAUUUCACCAUUUUUGACUUUGUCUUGGGAGCUUUUGGACGAUUUGGAAGAGGGAUUUUAAGGGAAAUUCGUUAAGGUAAGGAUUUUGGACCUAAAAGACAUUUCUAUGGUAGUAUUUCAUGGAUUAAGGUUGUAAUUAAAGGAAUUAAAGGGCUAAAAAUUAGGGAUUAGGGCUUGAUUUUAAGAGGCUUUUAAAUGGGGAUUUGAUGGGUCAUUUGGACUCCGAUUUUAGUGUUCUUGAUAUGUGUAGAGUCGUGGGGAGAUGAGGAAUCUAUUGGUGUAAAAAUUUCUGAAUUUCGAGACGUGGUCCCGGGGGUCGGGUUUUGGUGAUUUCGGGAUUUGUGCCCUUUAUUGAUUGUUUUUGGGCUUUGUUCCCUUAGCAUACUUUGACGUCCUCGUUCUGAUUUUGGAUAGAUUCGAUGCGCAUGGAGGCCAAUUCGAGGUGCAAAGGCGUCUCGAGCUAGAGAUUUAGCCGGUUCGAGGUGAGUAAUGAUUGUAAAUGAUAUUUUGAUGGUUUGAAACCCCGAAUUUGCACAUCGUAGUGCUAUAUUGAGGUGAGAGACACGCUUGAUGACGAGCGUGGGGUCGGUCACUAUUGGGGAUUAUGACUUGGUUUGUCUCGAUUGAUGAUUUUAUCGCGUAUUUGACUGAAAUCAAUUUUCUAUCAUCAUUCCUUGGGCUGAAUGCCAUAUUUGGGCCUAGUGCCAACUAUUUGAACCCUUCGGGGCCUUUUAUUGAUAUUUCUUCACUGUUUUGACUUAAUACUUGAAAACAGUCAUGUUAUUUUUCCACUGUUUUUAUACUCAGCCAUGUUUACUCAAUUUUAAGACUUAAAUGAUAUUUUAAAUGAUGUUUGGGGCUGAGAAAUAUUGUUUUACUAUUGUCCGAGGGGCUUGUGAGUAUUUUUUGACUAAGUAAGGCCGAGGGCCUAUGUUGUGAGGAAACACUAAUACUGAUUGAAGGCUGAGGGCCUGAGACAUGUAUGCCAUGAGGUGGCUUGAUUGAUAUGAGGCCGAGGGCCUUGAUCUGAUGCCACGAUAUGGCUUGUUAUUGCGCUUGGGCCGUAAGGGGCCCCUCUACGAGUCUACACAUCCCCAGUGAACGCGGGUACCCAUUGUGAUGUGAGAUUGAUCUCGAGGGGCUGGUACUGAUCCGAGAUGUUGCUCGAGGGGCGGAUUUAUUGAUACUGUGCCUGAGGGGCGAACUUCUUUUUGUUUACUUUACCUUAACUACCUUUCAAUUACUUGUUUACUUGUUGAAAUAGGAUUUUACUUGAUUUUUACUGGUUUUACAGUUUUUAAAUGACUUUUUCUGCUUCAUUAUAGAAUGCCUUGGGCUUUAUGUGUUUUCUUACCUUCAGUCGUUAUUUACAUUUGUUACUCACUGAGUUGGAGUACUCACUUUACUCCCUGCACCCUGUGUGCAGAUUCAGGCACAGCUGGUUCCGCUCCCGAAUGCUGAUUCCUCCAGCUUCAAACGAGCUUUCGGAGAUUUCGAGGUAGUUGUUGACGUCCGCAACCCCGUGUCUCUACUCCUCUAUCAUUUAUAUUCCUUCUCAAACAUUUCUACUAGUUAUGGUUUUAGAAGAUUUGUACUAUGGCUUAUAGAUGCUCGUGACUUGUGACACCUCGGUUAGGGCUGUGUCGGGUGGUACUUCCACAUUUUAACGAUAUUUUUCCAUUUUUUAGUAUUAUUAUAUUAUGCUUAGACUAAUUUUAUGUUGAUUAACUAUUUUAAAAGGUGAAUUGGGUAUAAUUGGCUGGCCUUGUCUUCACGAGAGGCGUCAUCACAAUUGGGUUCGGGUUUAGGGUAGUGACAAGUUGGUAUCAGAGCCUAGGUUGCAUAGGUCUCACGAGUCAUGAGUAGGUUUAGUAGAGUCUCGCGGAUCGGUACGGAGACGUCUAUAUUUAUCCUUGAGAGGCUGCAGAACCUUUUGGAAAAACUUCAUAUUCUUGAAAUUCUUGUCGUGCGAACUUGUUGAUACGAGUACUAAACUUCUGUUAUUCUAUUCUCUUACAGAUGGUGAGGACACGCGCUAACAGACAGGGUGGACGACCACCAGUGCCACCAGCUGUGGCCACCAGAGGCCGAGGACGCGGCCGCGGUAGAGGCAGAGCAGCGAGGGUAGCACCUGUAGAUCCACCAGCUACCCCAGUUCAGGACCAGGUCCCAGCUAUGGACGCUGCAACAAUACUAGUUUAGGCACCAGCUGUGCCCAUCGUGAUUCUGUGUUCUUCAAGAGGCCUUGGCACAGACCUUAUCAGUUUGCACUGGCCUGGAUCAGGCGGUUUCAUCCAUUACAGUUGUAGCUACUUUGCAGGCCGGGGGAGGCAAUCAGACUCCCGCCGCUCGCACACCUGAUCAGGUCAUGUAGGGACUUCAGAUGCUGGGGGUGCAUCUAGUCCAGCCGGUUGCAGCUGCUCGGGACUCUAUGGUUCCUAUCAUGCCGGAGGAUGAGCAACAUAGUUUGGAAAGAUUUGGUAGAUUACAGACUCCGACCAUCAGUGGCGCAGAGGGCGAGGAUGCCCAGGGCUUUUUGGAUAAGUGUAAAAGGAUGCUUCGUACUGCAGGUAUUCUGGAGAGUAGCGGGGUUACUUUUACCACCUAUCAAUUUUCGGGAGCUGCUUUCACUUGGUGGGAGGAUUUUGAGAGGCAUAGGCCUGUUGGUGCAGCACCCCUUUCCUGGCAACAAUUCACCAUUCUCUUCCUGGAGAAGUAUGUGCCGCAGUCCCACAUAGAGGAGCUGCGUAGGCAGUUUAAGUGGUUGCGACAGGGGGAGAUGACCGUGUCGCAGUAUGAGUUGAGGUUUUCUGAGUUGUCACGUCAUGCCAUCUGGUUGGUUCCGACAGAUCGAGAGAGGAUCAGGAGAUUUGUUGAUGGUCUUACUUACCAGCUCUGUAAUCUUAUGACCAGAGAGAGGGUAUCUGGUGCUACAUUGGAGGAGGUUGUUGAUAUCGCCCAUGAGAUUGAGUUGGUUUGCCGUCAGGAGCGAGACGAGAGGGAGGCCAAGAGGCCUUGAGGAUCUGGCAGCUAUAGUGGUACUCCUUCGAGGGGUCAGUUUCAGCAUGACAGGGACCGUUCAUUCAAAUCGGCUCGGCCAGCUCACCCAGGUUAUCGUGGGGCAUCUUCGGGUCAUGGUUAUCAUGGAUCUCAGCAGGGCCAGUCAUCACUCAGUGCCCUUCCAGCUUAGAGUUCAUCCCGUGCUCCAUCAGCUCAGGGCUCUUCUAUGCCGAGUGCAUCUGCUAGUCACUCCGGUGCGAGGGGUUCCCUUCAAUCCCCUUCUCCAACACCUGGGAGUUGUUAUGGAGAUGGGCCACUUGGGGAGGCAAUGUCCUCAUCGUGUUGCUAGUUCAUCCCAGCAGAGGGGUCAGUCAUCAGCUUCAGCGCCAGUUUCUUCACCACCACCGCCUCAGCCAGCUAGGGGUGGAGAUCAGUCAGCCAGGGGUCGCCCCAGAGAGGGAGGUCGAUCAGGGGGCGGUCAAGCCCGUUUCUAUGCUCUUCCAGGUAGACCCGAUGUUAUUGCUUCAGAUGAUGUAAUUAUAGGUAUUGUUUUAGUCUUCCACAGAGAUGACUCUGUAUUAUUUGAUCCUGGUUCCACCUUUUCUAUGUGUCAUCAUACUUUGCUCGUUAUUUCGAUAUGCCCCGUGAGUUUCUUGCUUUACUUGUUCAUGUAUCUACCUCGGUGGGCGAUACUGUUAUUGUCGACCGUGUGUACCGGUCGUAUAUGGUGACUAUUAGGGGUCUGGAGACCCAAGUGGAACUGUUGCUAUUAAGCAUGGUGGAUUUUGAUGUCAUUUUGGACAUGGAUUGGUUAUCUCCAUGUUGUGCUAUUCUAGACUGUCAUGUUAAGAAAGUCUCACUGGCUAUGCUGGGUGUGCCAUGGAUCGAGUGGCGAGGUGUGACUGAUUAUGUUUCUAGUAGAGUGAUCUCUUUCUUGAAGGCCCAUCGUAUGAUUGGGAAGGGUUGUCUUUCAUAUCUAGCAUUUGUGAGGAAUGUCAGAGCUGAGACUCCUAGUAUUGAUUCUGUUCUAGUUGUGAGGAAAUUUCCCGAUGUGUUUCCUGCAGACCUGUCGGGCAUGCCACUGAACAGGGAUAUUGAUUUUGGUAUUGACCUGGUGCCGGGCACUCAGCCCAUUUCUAUUCCGCCCUAUCGUAUGGCACCAGCGGGGUUUAGAGUUGAAGGAGUUAAAGGAGCAGCUUCAGGAACUCCUUGAUAAAGGGUUCAUUCGGUCUAGUGUGUCACCUUGGGGUGCAGCGGUUCUAUUUGUGAAGAAGAAGGAUGGCACAAUGAGAAUGUGCAUUGAUUAUAGGCAAUUGAACAAGGUAACAAUUAAGAACAAGUAUCCUUUGCCUCGCAUUGAUGAUUUUUUUGAUCAACUUCAGGGAGCGAGAGUGUUCUCCAAGAUUGAUCUCCAUUUAAGUUAUCACUAGUUGAAGAUCACAGAUUUGGAUAUUCCGAAGACGANNNNNNNNNNNNNNNNNNNNNNNNNNNNNNNNNNNNNNNNNNNNNNNNNNNNNNNNNNNNNNNNNNNNAUGUUCCGGCCUUAUCUCGAUUCAUUCGUCAUAGUCUUCAUUGAUGAUAUUCUGGUGUAUUCGCGUAGUUAGGAGGAGCACGCGGAGCAUUUAAGAGUUGUGUUGCAGAGAUUGAGGGCGGAGAAGCUUUAUGCAAAAUUCUCCAAGUGUGAGUUUUGGCUUGGUUCAGUGGCUUUCCUGUGGUACGUGGUGUCCAGCGAGGGUAUUCAGGUUGAUCCGAUGAAGAUAGAGGCGGUACAUAGUUGGCCCAGACCGUCCUCAGCCACAAAAAUUCGCAACUUUCUUGGUUUGGUAGGCUAUUAUUGUCGGUUUGUUUAGGGAUUCUCAUAUAUCGCAUCGCCCUUGACCAAGUUAACUCAGAAGAGCGCUUCAUUUGUAUGGUCGGACGGGUGUGAGGACAAAUUUCAGAAGCUCAAGAUAGCUUUGACCACAACUUUAGUGUUGGUUUUGCCAUCAGCUUCAGGUUCCUAUACCGUGUAUUAUGAUGCUUCAAGAGUUGGGAUUGGUUGUGUGUUGAUGCAAGAUGGUAGAGUUAUUGUUUAUGAUUCUCAUUAGUUGAAGCCCCAUGAGAAGAACUACCAUGUUCAUGACUUAGAGUUGGCUGCCAUAGUUCACGCAUUGAAGAUUUGGAGGCAUUACUUGUAUGGCAUAUCUUAUGAGGUGUUCAUUGAUCAUCGUAGUCUUCAGCAUUUGUUCAAGCAAAAGGAUCUUAAUUUGAGGCAGCAGAGAUAGUUGGAGUUGAUAAAGGAUUAUGAUAUCACUAUAUUGUAUCAUCCGGGAAAGGCCAAUGUGGUGACCAAUGCUUUGAGCCGAAAGGCAGUGAGUAUGGUAGUUUGGCAUAUAUUCUAGUUGGGGAGAGACCUCUUGCAGUUGAUGUUCAGGACUUGGCCAAUCGGUUCAUGAGGUUAGAUAUUUCGGAGCCCAGUUGGGUAUUGGCUUGUGUGGUUUCUCGUUCAUCCUUAUAUGAGUGCAUCAGGGAGCGCCAGUAUGAUGAUCCGGAUUUGCUUGUCCUUAAGGACAGAGUUCAGCAUGAUGAUCCAAGAGAUGUGACCAUUGGUGAUGAUGGGGUGUUGAGGAUGCAUGGCCGGAUUUGCGUGCCCAAUGUGGAUGGGCUUCGGAGUUGAUUCUAGAGGAGGCCCAUAGCUCACGGUAUUCCAUUCAUCCAGAUACCGCGAAGAUGUAUCAGGAUUUGAGGCAGCACUAUUUGUGGAGAAGAAUGAAGAAAGACAUUGUGGGAUUUGUAGCUCGGUGUUUCAAUUGUCAGCACAUGAAACAUGAGCAUCAGAGGCCGGGUGGCUUGCUUCAGCAGAUAGAUAUUCCUAAGUGGAAGUGGGAAAGGAUCACUAUGGACUUUGUUGUUGGGCUUCCACAGAGUUUGAAGAAGUUCGAUGCUAUUUAGGUGAUUGUGGAUUGGCUGACCAAGUCCGCGUACUUCAUACCUAUGUGUACUACUUAUUCUUUAGAGCAGUUGGCAGGGAUCUAUAUUCGAGAGAUUGUUCACUUGCAUGGUGUUCCGUUUCUAUCAUUUAAGAUAGAGGUACUUAGUUUACUUCGUAGUUUUGGAGGGCCGUGCAGAGUGAGUUGGGUACUCAUGUGGAGUUGAGCACAACUUUUCAUCCUCAGAUGGACGGUCACUCCGAGCGUACUAUUCAGAUAUUGGAUUACAUGUUGCGUGCUUGUGUCAUUGAUUUCGGAGGAUCAUGGGAUGAGUUUCUACCACUUGCAGAGUUUGCUUAUAACAGCAGCUACCAGUCAAGUAUUCAGAUGGCUCCUUAUGAGUUUUUGUAUGGGACACGGUGUAGAUUUCCAGUUGGUUGGUUCGAGCCCGGUGAGGCUAGGCUAUUGGGGAAUGAUUUGGUACAGGAUGCUUUGGAGAAGGUGAAGGUGAUUCAAGAGAGGUUUCGUAUAGCGCAGUCGAGGAAAAAGAGUUAUGCUGAUAGGAAGGUUCAAGAUGUGUCCAACAUGGUUGGCAAGAAGGCUAUAUUAAAGGUUUCACCCAUGAAGGGUGUUAUGAGACUUGGAAAGAAAGGAAAAUUGAGUCCGCGAUUCAUUGGGCAUUUUGAGGUGCUUCGGAGGAACUGGGAGGUGGCUUAUGAGCUUGCCUUUCCACCCAUCUUGUCAAGCGUGCAUCCGGUAUUUCAUGUUUCUACGCUCCGGAAGUAUAUUGGGGAUCUGUCUCAUGAUCUAGAUUUUAGCAAGGUUCAGUUGGAUGAUGAUUUGACCUUUGAUGUGGAGCCAGUAGCUAUUUUGGGUCGUCAGGUUCGGAAGUUGAGGUCAAAGGAUAUAGCCUCAGUGAAGGUGCAAUGGAGAGGUCGGCCCGUGGAGGAGGCUACUUCGGAGACCGAGCGGGAGAUGCGAAGAAGAUAUCCUCACCUGUUUGAGGCUUCAGUUAUGUUUCUUGACUCGUUUGAGGAUGAACGUUUGUUUAAGUUGGGGAGGAUGUCACGACCCAGCCAAUCGUCUCAUGAGUUACCGGUCCGUUUCACCUAUUUCUGCUUCUUUAUGCCUUAUUAUCCAUGUUUUAUGGUAUCGGGUUGGUCAGAUCGAGUCCGGAAUGAUUAUGGUAAAGUUUGAAACACUUAGUCUCUUUUAAGGAAGUUUAAGUUGGAAAAGUCAACCGAAUGUUAACUUAUGUGUUAUAGAGCUCGGAUGGGAGUUCCGAUGGUUCGGUUAGCUUUGGGAGGUGAUUUUUGACUUAGGAGUGUGAUCGGAAUGAGUUUUGGAGGUUCGGAGUUGAUUUAGGCUUGAAUUGGCGAAGUUGAUAUUUUGGCGAUUUCCGGUUGGAAGGCUAGAUUUUGAUAUAGGGGUCGGAAUGAAAUUCCGAGAGUUGCAGUAGCUUCGUUAGGUCAUUUGGGAUGUGUGUGUAAAUUUUUAGGUUAUUCAAACGUGGUUUGGUUGGUUUUUUUAUCAAAAACGUAAUUCGAAAGAUUUUAGAAACUUAGGCUUGAAUCUGAUAUGUUUUGGGUGAUCUGAUGUUGUUUGAGGUGUUUUGAUGGUUGGAACAAAUUUGAAUAAGGUAUUGGGUUAUGUUUGUGCUUUUGGUUGAGGUCUCGGGGGCCUCGGGGUGAUUUCGUAUGGUUAACGGAGAGGUUGAGAUGUUAUUGCAGCUGCUAAAGUUUUACUGCUUCUGGUGUUUUCGCACCUGCGGUUUAGGAACCAUAGGUGUUGCGCCGCACGUGCGGAAGGGGAGAUGCAUAUGCGGAUUUGGGAGGAAUAUUCAAGAACUGCAGAUGCGGUAGAUGGAUCGCACCUGCGGAGUCGUAGACGCGGAGUAUGGACUGCAGAUGCGAAAUCUAGUCCGUUAAGUGAUUUCCGCAGAAGCGGAAGGUAGACCGCAAAUGCGGUACCGCAUAAGCGGCAAAGGUGCCGCAGAUGCGGAAUAGCUUGGCAGAAGAAUUAGAAGAGUCCUUCGCAAAAUUUUGGGUUAUUUCACCAUUGUUUACUUCGGCUUGGGAGCUUUUGGACGAUUUGGAAGAGGGAUUUCAAGUGAACUUCGUUAAGCUAAGUAUUUUGGACCUAAAACACAUUUCUAUGGUAGUAUUUCAUGGAUUAAGGCUAUAAUUAAAGGAAUUAAAGGGCUAAAAAUUGGGGAUUAGGGCUUGAGUUUAAGAAGACUUUAAAUGGGCAUUUGAGGGGUCAUUUGGACUCCGAUUUCGGUGUUCUUGAUAUGUCUAGACUCGUGGGGAGAUAAGAAAUCUACUGGUGUAAAAAUUUCUGAAUUCCGAGACGUGGUCCCGGGGGUCGGGUUUUGGUGAUUUCGGGAUGUGUGCCCUUUAUUGAUUGUUUUCGCUUGGGCUUUGUUCCCCUAGCAUACUUUGACGUCCUCGUUCUGAUUUUGGAUAGAUUUGAUGCGCGUGAAGGCUAAUUUGAGGGGCAAAGGCAUUGCGAGCUAGAGAUUUAGCCUGUUCGAGGUGAGUAAUAAUUGUAAAUGAUGUUCUGAAGGUUUGAAACCCCGGAUUUGCACAUCGUAGUGCUAUGUUGAGGUGAGCCACACGCUUGAUGACGAGCGUGGUGUCGUGCACUAUUGGUGAUUGUGACUUGGUCCGUCCCGAUUGAUGAUUUUACCGCAUAUUUGACUGAAAACUAUUUUCUAUCAUCAUUCUUUGAGCUGAAUGCCAUAUUUGGGCCUAGUGCCAACUAAUUGCACCCUUCAUGGCCUUUUAUUGAUAUUUCCUCACUGUUUUAACUUUAUACUUGAACUCAGUCAUGUUAUUUUUCCACUGUUUUUAUACUCAGUCAUGUUUACUCAGUUUUAAUACUUAAAUGAUAUUUAAAUGAUGUUUGGUGUUGAGAAACAUUGUUUUACUGUUGCCCGAGAAGCUUAUGAGUAUUUUUGACUGAGUAAGGCCGAUGGCCUAUGUUUUGAGGAAACACUGAUACUGAUUGGAGGCCAAGGGCCUGAGACAUGUACGCCACGAGGUGGAUUGAUUUAUAUGAGGCCGAGGGCCUUGUUUUGAUUCCACGAGAUGGCUUGUUAUUGCGCUUGAUCCGUAAGGGGCUCCUCUACGAGUCUGCACACCCCCAAUGAGCGCGGGUACCCAUUAUGAUGUGAGAUUGAGCCCAAGGGGCUGGCAGUGAUCCGAGAUGUUGCUUGAGGGGCGGAUUUAUAGAUACUGUGCCCGAGAGGCGAACUUCUAUUUGGUUACUUUACCUUAAAUACCUGUCAAUUACUUGUUUACUUGUUGAAAGAGGAUUUUACUGGAUUUUUAUUGGUUUUACUAUUUUUAAAUGACUUUUUUGCUUCAUUAUAGAAUGUCUUGUGCUUUAUAUGUUUUCUUACCUUCAGUCGUUAUUUACAUUUGUUACUCAUUGAGUUGGAGUACUCACUUCACUCCCUGCACCCUGUGUGCAGAUUCAGGCGUAGCUAGU